UGGGAUGUAGGCCAGUGGUAAGCCAACGGGUUUUGGUUCCGUCAAUCGCAGGUUCGAAUCCUGCCAUCCCAG
rnacentral:tRNA from 1 species